GGUGAUUCAUAGUAACCGAACGGAUCGCAUUAUAAUUAUCAUUAUUUGAUGAUUGGCGAUAGAUCAUUCAAGUUUCUGACCUAUCAGCUUUCGACGGUAGUGUAUUGGACUACCGUGGCAGUGACGGGUAACGGGGAAUUAGGGUUCGAUUCCGGAGAGGGAGCCUGAGAAACGGCUACCACAUCUAAGGAAGGCAGCAGGCGUGCAAAUUACCCAAUCCUGACUCAGGGAGGUAGUGACAAGAAAUAACAACACUGGAAAUUUGAUUUCUAGUGAUUGGAAUGAUGGGAAUCCAAACCCCUUUCAGAGUAACAAUUGGAGGGCAAGUCUGGUGCCAGCAGCCGCGGUAAUUCCAGCUCCAAUAGCGUAUAUUAAAGUUGUUGCAGUUAAAAAGCUCGUAGUUGGAUGUCUGUUGGAAGCAAUCAUCAGUCCGCCCUAUUUGAUUAGGGUGUGAAUAUGAUGAAUUCCGGCAUAAUUGUCUCCCUAUUGUUAAUAUUCUGAUUGUUAGAUUCAUUUCUAACAAUAAUACGAUUAUUAAUAAUAAGGGGGAAAUGUUACUUUGAGAAAAUUAGAGUGUUUGAAGCAGGCUUUUGUUGCCUUGAAUACUGCAGCAUGGAAUAACAAUAUAGGAUUUCGGUUCUAUUUUGUUGGUUCUUUUUUUAGGACUGAAAUAAUGAUUAAUAGGGACAGUUGGGGGCAUUCGUAUUUAACUGUCAGAGGUGAAAUUCUUAGAUUUGUUAAAGACGAACUACUGCGAAAGCAUUUGCCAAAGAUGUUUUCAUUAAUCAAGAACGAAAGUUAGGGGCUCGAAGACGAUCAGAUACCGUCGUAGUCUUAACCAUAAACUAUGCCGACUAGAGAUAGGAAAAUGUCAUUUUGCUGACUUCUCCUGCACCUUAUGAGAAAUC
rnacentral:rRNA from 1 species